rnacentral:rRNA from 1 species
UACGUAGGUGGCAAGCGUUGUCCGGAUUUACUGGGCGUAAAGAGCGCGCAGGCGGUCGUUCAAGUCGCGUGUGAAAGCCCCCGGCUCAACUGGGGAGGGUCACGCGAUACUGAUCGACUCGAAGGCAGGAGAGGGUAGUGGAAUUCCCGGUGUAGUGGUGAAAUUCGUAGAUAUUGGGAAGAACACCGGUGGCGAAGGCGGCGACCUGGUCCAUUACUGACGCUGAGGCGCGAUAGCGUGGGGAGCAAACAGG